rnacentral:rRNA from 1 species
UACGUAGGGGGCGAGCGUUGUUCGGAUUUACUGGGCGUAAAGAGCGCGUAGGUGGUCUGAUAAGUCGGAGGUGAAAUUCCUCGGCUCAACCGAGGGCCCGCGUCCGAUACUGUCGGACUUGAGUGCAGGAGAGGAGAGCGGAAUUCCCAGUGUAGCGGUGAAAUGCGUAGAUAUUGGGAGGAACACCGGUGGCGAAGGCGGCUCUCUGGACUGUUACUGACACUGAGGCGCGAAAGCUAGGGGAGCAAACGGG